UUGACCUCGGAUCAGGUAGGGAUACCCGCUGAACUUAAGCAUAUCAAUAAGCGGAGGAAAAGAAACCAACAGGGAUUGCCCUAGUAACGGCGAGUGAAGCGGCAUCAGCUCAAAUUUGAAAUCUGGCUCUUUCAGAGUCCGAGUUGUAAUUUGCAGAGGGCGCUUUGGCGUUGGCAGCGGUCCAAGUUCCUUGGAACAGGACGUCACAGAGGGUGAGAAUCCCGUACGUGGUCGCUGGCCUUCACCGUGUAAAGCCCCUUCGACGAGUCGAGUUGUUUGGGAAUGCAGCUCUAAAUGGGAGGUAAAUUUCUUCUAAAGCUAA
rnacentral:rRNA from 1 species